rnacentral:rRNA from 1 species
GACGAACGCUGGCGGCGUGCCUAAUACAUGCAAGUAGAACGCUGAAGAGAGGAGCUUGCUCUUCUUGGAUGAGUUGCGAAUGGGUGAGUAACGCGUAGGUAACCUGCCUUGUAGCGGGGGAUAACUAUUGGAAACGAUAGCUAAUACCGCAUAACAAUGGAUGACACAUGUCAUUUAUUUGAAAGGGGCAAUUGCUCCACUACAAGAUGGACCUGCGUUGUAUUAGCUAGUAGGUGAGGUAACGGCUCACCUAGGCGACGAUACAUAGCCGACCUGAGAGGGUGAUCGGCCACACUGGGACUGAGACACGGCCCAGACUCCUACGGGAGGCAGCAGUAGGGAAUCUUCGGCAAUGGGGGCAACCCUGACCGAGCAACGCCGCGUGAGUGAAGAAGGUUUUCGGAUCGUAAAGCUCUGUUGUAAGUCAAGAACGAGUGUGAGAGUGGAAAGUUCACACUGUGACGGUAGCUUACCAGAAAAGGACGGCUAACUACGU